AGAGUUUGAUCCUGGCUCAGGAUGAACGCUAGCGGCAGGCUUAACACAUGCAAGUCGAGGGGUAGAGGUUGCUUGCAACCUUGAGACCGGCGCACGGGUGCGUAACGCGUAUGCAACCUACCUUUUACAGAGGGAUAGCCCAGAGAAAUUUGGAUUAAUACCUCAUAGUAUAUAUCUUUCGCAUGUUAGGUAUAUUAAAGUUCCAACGGUAAAAGAUGGGCAUGCGUCCUAUUAGCUAGAUGGUAAGGUAACGGCUUACCAUGGCUACGAUAGGUAGGGGUCCUGAGAGGGAGAUCCCCCACACUGGUACUGAGACACGGACCAGACUCCUACGGGAGGCAGCAGUGAGGAAUAUUGGACAAUGGGCGCAAGCCUGAUCCAGCCAUGCCGCGUGCAGGAAGAAGCAUCUAUGGUGUGUAAACUGCUUUUGUACAGGAAGAAACAUCCCGACGUGUCGGGACUUGACGGUACUGUAAGAAUAAGGAUCGGCUAACUCCGUGCCAGCAGCCGCGGUAAUACGGAGGAUCCAAGCGUUAUCCGGAAUCAUUGGGUUUAAAGGGUCCGUAGGCGGUUUGGUAAGUCAGUGGUGAAAGCCCGCAGCUCAACUGUGGAACGGCCAUUGAUACUGCCAGACUUGAAUUACAAGGAAGUAACUAGAAUAUGUAGUGUAGCGGUGAAAUGCUUAGAUAUUACAUGGAAUACCAAUUGCGAAGGCAGGUUACUACUUGUGGAUUGACGCUGAUGGACGAAAGCGUGGGGAGCGAACAGGAUUAGAUACCCCGGUAGUCCAA
rnacentral:rRNA from 1 species